rnacentral:rRNA from 1 species
AUGUUCAGCUUUUCCUGUAUUGUCGUCCUAGCCCUAGGCAGUAGAAGCUGUAGUUGCUUGCAGUUUACUUAUCCCAACUUCAACGCAAUCAAGAUGGAUGAUUUCACCUUCAGCCCAGGCUCAACAAUUGCAGAUGGCGCCUUGCAGAUCACCCCAAGUACCGGAAACAUGCGCCACCGGUCGGGGAGAGUGGUUUAUGCAAGGGAAACCCUCAAGCUGUGGAACAACAAGCGCAUGGCGCCCACCUCGUUCAGGACAGAUUUCCUGCUCAACAUCCUCCCCGGUCAGAAUGGGGCUGGAGAAGGUAUGGCAUUUGUUCUCACAAACAAUCCAUCGUUGCCCAACAAAAGCAGUGGCCAAUGGCUUGGCAUAUGUAAUGCCACGACAGAUGGCACAAAGACGGAUCCAGUAGUAGCUGUCGAGUUUGACACGAGGAGGAGCUAUGAGGAUGACCUUGACGCCAACCAUAUCGGCAUCGACAUCAACAGCAUCAAAUCUAUUCGGCAGUACCCGCUUAGUAAUGUUUCCAUCAUCUUCUCAAGUGGGUCUGAUGUAUGGGUCAGUAUUAGGUACCACGGCACAUCGAAAUUGUUUCAAGUAUUUCUAGUCCAACACAGCAUUCGUGGGCGGUAG